rnacentral:misc_RNA from 1 species
GGAAGCAAAAGUCGUAACAAGGUUUCCGUAGGUGAACCUGCGGAAGGAUCAUUGAUGAAAUAGAAUAGAUGUGUAAUGUAUCACUACACUACACAACUCUAUUCACUCACUCUAUACAUGUGAAGGACAGUCUCUGUCCUAUACACAAUAAUAAUCACUAUUGAUUUAUUAACAAUUCUAUAAUCACUAAAACUUUCAACAAUGGAUCUCUUGGCUCUU